AUUGAACGCUGGCGGCAGGCCUAACACAUGCAAGUCGAGCGGAUGAAGGGAGCUUGCUCCUGGAUUCAGCGGCGGACGGGUGAGUAAUGCCUAGGAAUCUGCCUGGUAGUGGGGGAUAACGUCCGGAAACGGGCGCUAAUACCGUAUACGUCCUGAGGGAGAAAGUGGGGGAUCUUCGGACCUCACGCUAUCAGAUGAGCCUAGGUCGGAUUAGCUAGUUGGUGGGGUAAAGGCCUACCAAGGCGACGAUCCGUAACUGGUCUGAGAGGAUGAUCAGUCACACUGGAACUGAGGCACGGUCCAGACUCCUACGGGAGGCAGCAGUGGGGAAUAUUGGACAAUGGGCGAAAGCCUGAUCCAGCCAUGCCGCGUGUGUGAAGAAGGUCUUCGGAUUGUAAAGCACUUUAAGUUGGGAGGAAGGGCAGUAAGUUAAUACCUUGCUGUUUUGACGUUACCAACAGAAUAAGCACCGGCUAACUUCGUG
rnacentral:rRNA from 1 species